rnacentral:lncRNA from 1 species
CUCCAUCUCGACAAUGACUUCAUCAUCCAGCAUUCCAGCUCCACCAAAAGCCCUCACUCCUCCAACACUCAUGGCUGAAGACGAUGGUUAUGGUUCUGAGUCUAAUUUGUUGAGGAGUGUGAUAUAUGGUGUUUUAGCACAUUCUAACAAUGUUUUUAAAGUGUUUUUGAGUCUUUAUCGAGUCUUUUUAGUUUUUUUCGAGUCAUGACAGGUCUGGAGUUGCAUUGGAUGUGAGAUAAACCAGCUGGAACAAAAGAUGCAAAAAAGAGUACCUUUUAGUGACUUUUACGCAGAACAGUCUCGAUGGUUGUUCCCGAUCGCGUGGAACACUCUGAGUGCCUGUUCCAGCGGCAGAGAUUUUUAAGGAAACUACAACUUAUUUCGGGAUUUUCCCUAAUCUCCCUAUUUUUCUCUCCCAGCCGCCUAUGGCUUUGAUAUAACUUCUUUUUCUAUUUUUUCAUAUUUUUCUACGCUAUUUUACAGAAAAAACCAGACCCUAGAGUUUUAGACUUGACGAUUUGCUACUUGUUAGGGAGAAGGCUCCAUCUAUCUCGUCUAGAGAAGAUUAUCCUGAACCCUCUUGCUUCUAUUUUAUUUUAUAUGUAGUAUUAUUCAGUUUCAGUCUAUGUGUUUUCUUGUUUCAUGGUUGAGUAGUCAACUUGCUUAGUCUAGGGUGUUAGGGUGUUAGAUCCGUGAGUUAAAC